rnacentral:rRNA from 1 species
GUGUCAGCCGCCGCGGUAAUACAGAGGGUGCGAGCGUUAAUCGGAUUUACUGGGCGUAAAGCGUGCGUAGGCGGCUUUUUAAGUCGGAUGUGAAAUCCCUGAGCUUAACUUAGGAAUUGCAUUCGAUACUGGGAAGCUAGAGUAUGGGAGAGGAUGGUAGAAUUCCAGGUGUAGCGGUGAAAUGCGUAGAGGUCUGGAGGAAUACCGAUGGCGAAGGCAGCCAUCUGGCCUAAUACUGACGCUAAGGUACGAAAGCAUGGGGAGCAAACAGGAUUAGAUACCCGGGUAGUCC